AGUUAGCAAAAUCGCCUGUUCAUACAAUUUUUGGCUAUUUUCUGAAGAAUUUGGUACACGAAAUUUUAGACCUUUGGGCUAUAUUUAUGUGGCAACACUAUACGAGAGAGUUUACUUAUAGUCUGCAUAUGUUUUGAAAAGUUUCGUGUGAUUUUUAUUUUAUUAGAAAGUACUUAACAGCGAAAUUUUAGAAUUAAUGGAAGAAGGUUUGGGUUAUUAUUUAAUGUUGUUACCUGUCACGAUACCAGUGGUACUGUUCUUCAUGUUUUGGGCUUGGAUGGGUUUUCAACUUUACAUCAAUAAUUAAAAACCUAUGCAAAACAGAUUUUGCACUGCUUUUCAUGUGAAAUAAAGAAGCAAGAAUGACACUACAAUCAUUGGAAAAUUUUUUGAGAAAAAACCAUGCAAUAUAUUCAUUUUUAAUAAUAAAAUGCUUCAUUGUUAAACAAGAGCACUACUAUAUUAAAAAUCAUAUUUAUAAAUUAAACAGAGAGCAACAUUUUAUAUUGGAUUUAUAGAAAGUAACAUGUCAUUAUAAAUCUAUAGAUAAUAAGGUUUUUUUCUAUUGCCAAGAAAGUGUUAAGCUUUUUAUUCAGAGAUCAUUAAAGAGUAAUUCAAGAAUGUUAUCUUGAGAGAAGAGAAA